UAAUAUACUUACCAUUGAAAACUCUUGAAUCUAGACUGAGUUAUCUAAUUUUCCCAUAUUUAUAUCAUUCCAAAAUUUCAUAAGCAGGUCAUAAAAGCCUUUAGUCAAGUUAUUAUUAAAAAUUUGAAGAAGAAAGCACAAGGCAAAACAUCCCACUAGAUACCAAGUUAUAAGCUUAAUAGGCCCAUAAAUGGCAGCUUUGGGAGUCUAUUAAUGUAAACAAGUCUAGAUCUACAUGAGAAUACUAUUGUAUAGCCUAUAUCUCCUCAUUCUGUAUAAUAAUUUAUUAACAACAAAAUAAUAAUUUUAGCUAGCAUUUAUACAGUACAUUAAGAUUUCCAAAAUACUUGCAAAUAAUAUUCCAUUUAGUAACGCAACCCUAAGGAAAAUAAAUAGAUUUUAUUAUCAUUUCCCUUUUAAAGAGGAAGAUACAGAAAUAGAAGUUAAACAACUUACCCAUGGUUAUGAAACUAUAAAUUAUCUGUAGUUGGAUUUAAUCAAAGUCUUUCUGACUAAACGAUAACAUGAUAAACUGUACUUAGUGAUUUGCUAAAAUAUAGGUUAUGUCUAUAUCAUUCUUUUGAUUAAUCAAUUAAUUUUUUAUGAAAAAAAAAGGCUAGUAUGACCUGUUAGGAAAAAAGAAAUCAAGGGAUUAGAAAUAAGCAAUUUCUAAACCUAACUAGCCUCACAAACUCUCCCUUUAAUAAUUUGUCUCUACUUUUUAGAACAUUUUAUUAGGAUUAAUUAAGCCAUAAGGCUAAUGACCAUUUGGAGUAAUUGGGAUCUUAGCAGCUAAGAACAGAGUAAAGAAUAGUGUGUAAGUUUUCUUUAAGACCAGACAGAAUCAUGGGAAGGGUGCCUAUUGGAAUUCUGGGUAGCCAAAGUCAGUUGGGGUUUUUUCCCAACUGCCAAUGGACUCUUGGAGAUUAUUCCCUAGAAGGAGGCUUGUGUUCCUUUCCCCUGGAAUACUGAAAAAAUCCCAGUGGCAGGUGAAGGAGGAAAACAGAAAAGGACUGGAAUUUACUCAGGAAUUUGGAAACAUGGACUUUUAGAGAUGCACAAAGUAAAAGAAUAUGGACUGUGAAGGAAAAAAAGGAAAGAAACACCACCUGGUGAUGGAUGACUGAAUGUGAGAGCCAGGGCUCUGGGGUCAGUUCCCACAGUUACAGCCAUGGAGUCCAAAUAUAAAAGAGCCAGGAUCUUUUGCUGCUAGAUGUUCAAGUAAAUCCAGACUGGUGCUGCCAUCAGCCAGAAGCCAGAAAAAUUCCUUCCUCUGUUGAUCAUCCUUAAUCACAUGACUUGGAAUUCUCCCUUAUGAAACAGGGAAGGAAAAAUAAAUCUUUAAUGCUGACCAUCUUAAAAUAUUGAAGACUGUUUAUAUAUUCCUUUUAAUAUUUUUUUUCCUCUUUAACAGGCUAAACUUGCCAUUUCCUUCAAUUAAUCCUCACAAUGUUAAUCUCAACACCCUUAACUUUCCUGGACACCUUCCUUAAGACAUGAAAAGUUUAACAGUUAUUCCUAAAAUAUGACCAGAACUGAAUUAAAAAAUGUAAAUUUGGUGAAACUAAGGCAAAGCAUAUUAAGACUAUGAUCUUUCAAGCCCUGUAUAGUAUUUCACAUUUAAUACAGGUUAUUAUUGCAUUAGUUUUCUUGAUGUCCAUGUUAAUAUUAAAAUAAUAACUCAUUAUACCCCCAUUCUCUUUCAAAUACUGUGCACUUUAGCUAUGACUGCCUUAGCUGUAUUUGUGAAGUUGAUUUUUGAACUUGGAUAUAAGAUUUUAUGUGUUUAUUAUUUUUAUUGUAAUUUGUUGUAAUGUAAAUUUUAUUUACAUUCUAUAAUUUUAUAUCCUAUCAGGAUCUUUUUGGAUACUAAUUCUGUCCCCUGAUAUUAGCUAUAUAUCCCUAUAUCUAUAUUUGUAAAUCAGAUGAAACAUACCAUCUAUUUAUCUAUUCUAAUAAUUGAUCAAAAUGACAAACAAAUCUCCCCACCACCACCACUGUUCUAAAAAUGUUCUAAGUUCAUGUUCAAUAAGUAAAGACUACACUUUGGGUCUAAUGAUUUAACUUUUUCCAAGUUCAUUUAAUACUCCAUCAUCUAGCCUGAACCUCCCUAUCUUCCAUAUCAAAGUAGAAUAAAAGGCAUGGUCAUAUACUUUGGUAAGAUCUAGGGCACUGGUUCUCAACCUGGGGGUCGCGACCCCGGUGGGGCUUGAAUGACCAAAACACAGGGGUUGCCUAAAGCCAUUGGAUAAUGCACAUUUCCGAUGGCUUUAGCUGCUGAGAAAUUGCACUACUUUACAGCAAGAUCUCAGAAAGAACGGGGACCCUGCUGCCCGCACAUUGUACUAAUAUUAGUUACUUAUCAGCAGCCCUCCCCCUAUGAGGGGUGAUGGAUUUACCCUGUUGCCUGGAGACAGGACUCAAGACCCAGAGAGAGCACACGGGAGCUAGCUCCGGAGGGGUUAAGAACAAGUCCUGGAGCGGAUAACUCCUAGAGCACAUAAAGGAGCCAAGUAACCCCAGCAAAAUGAAGCCUUCUCUCUAGCUGGAGGGAGACGACAGGAAGAAAAAGGCAGCGUCUGCGGACCCCUUCCCCAUGCAGGUCUUACCUCCCACCCCAGCACUCAGGCUGCCUCCUGCUGGAUUAAUAUUUCUCAACAUAUAAUUAAAUAUUGUUUUUGUGAUUAAUCACUAUGUUUAAAUUAUGUUUGAUUUGUAGCAAUGAGAAUACAUAAUGCAUAUCAGGUAUUUACAUUCCAAAUCAUAACUGUAGCACAAUUAUAGUUUUGAAGUAGCCACCAAAAUAAUUUUUUGGUUUGGGGUCACCUCAACAUGAGGAACUGUAUUGUGGGGUCAUGGCAUUACAAAGGUUAAGAACCACUGAUCUAGGGUAACACUGACAUUCUGCUGAUCUAACAGUCUAGUAUGUCAAAGAGAAGCAUGAAAUUCUCUGGAAUAUUGCUGUCGGUUCAGACUUAUUGACUUUUUAUGAUUCCUAUGUUUUGCUAUAUGUUCAUAAGCUUAUAUGAUGUACUUUUUAAGGAGAGAAAGAAAAUUAUAGAUACUAUAUGCUACUAAUGUUUUAAAAUACUAGUGUCUUUUUACAUGAAUCUCACAGCAGAGUUUUACAACCUACAAUACCUGGGAGAAAUAGAAAAUAUUUCAAAUUGAAAAACUAUGAUACAAGCAAAAUGUUUGAAAAGGAGAAAGAUGGGAAAGUGGACUAUGGAUAGAUGGAUUUGCAAUUUGACUUUGGGGUAAAAAUGCCAAAAAUACGGAAAUAUCACAAAGGAUGCAACAUAAAUGUAUGAGAUUUAAAUUUUAGUUUUAAUAAAAUAGAUAAUAUUAAUAUGUCAUUCAAUAUCUUAAACUUUAUAUAUUUGGAUCCUAUCCAAAUUGUUAUUAGUUCCCAUUGACUGGAAACCUUUUAGUAGCCUAGUGGAAAACAAAAGAGGAUUUAAACAACUCAUGUCUACUUUUCAUUUGCACUAGAGAUAGAAGGUUAGUUAAGACCAAUUGAAACCAUUUUAACUUUACUAUUUUUGUGUCUCAUUGUUAAAGAGACAAAAGAUGACAACAAACGAAAGAGUUUCAACCUCUUCACCUAGAGAGAAUCAAAAAAUGCUCAAGGACUGCCUCUGAAAAGCUAUAGUAAAGAGGUUAUAAGAGAAGAGUUAAUACCAAAAUCUCUGAGAAUGUUAUGAAACUAUUAUACAAAAUAAAUGAAUAAAAAGAUAUAUUUUAAAAAAUAUAAAAUUUAAUGGAAUUGACCAUUAAAUUUUGAGAAUUGUAAAAGACUUAAAAAUUCCAACUAGCAAAGAACUAGGCCAAAUAAGGUGCAAUAUGCAAUUCAUAUUCUAUAUAGCAAACUACUUGUUGAAGCCAAUAUAAAGUCCUGAGACCAGACAACUUUAACUGCUCUAGAAUAAAUAGCAGAGGGAAGAGCAAUAAUGUUUAGUCUUUCAAUGAACCUAGUUCUCUCAUGAAGAGAAUUGUCCACAGACAUCUACCAUUAUAUUGAAAAUAUCUUCAAGUUCUUAUUUUCCAUAAAGUUCAUUAAUAAUCACUUGAAAUAGAAAAGGUAAACAAGCAUAGAUUUAAAGUCUCUUCAUUACUCUAAAUCUGACCAUGUGUAUCCCAUCCUGCAGGAUCCUCCAUCUAUCCCUCACCUGCCUGCUCAGGGAAGUAGUGAGUGAAAAAAGACAUCCCCCCCUGGGCUCUACCCACACCCUUUUAUUUAAGUUCAUGGAUGCACAGCUGGCAUGUGAAAAAUGUGAUGAACCACUGCUGCAGUCUAGGAGGGGGAGGGGAUGAAAUUCCCUCUAUACAAUAUGGAAUAAAUAUAAAUAAAUGCAAAGGAUUUUAUUAAAACAAAAAGAAAAUAACAAAUCAAGAUUAAGGGAUAAAUAUUCUUGGUGAUAACUGUA